rnacentral:rRNA from 1 species
GGGCGUUAAGUUGCAGGGUAUAGACCCGAAACCCGGUGAUCUAGCCAUGGGCAGGUUGAAGGUUGGGUAACACUAACUGGAGGACCGAACCGACUAAUGUUGAAAAAUUAGCGGAUGACCUGUGGCUGGGGGUGAAAGGCCAAUCAAACCGGGAGAUAGCUGGUUCUCCCCGAAAGCUAUUUAGGUAGCGCCUCGUGAAUUCAUCUCCGGGGGUAGAGCACUGUUUCGGCUAGGGGGCCAUCCCGGCUUACCAACCCGAUGCAAACUGCGAAUACCGGAGAAUGUUAUCACGGGAGACACACGGCGGGUGCUAACGUCCGUCGUGAAGAGGGAAACAACCCAGACCGCCAGCUAAGGUCCCAAAGUCAUGGUUAAGUGGGAAACGAUGUGGGAAGGCCCAGACAGCCAGGAUGUUGGCUUAGAAGCAGCCAUCAUUUAAAGAAAGCGUAAUAGCUCACUGGUCGAGUCGGCCUGCGCGGAAGAUGUAACGGGGCUAAACCAUGCACCGAAGCUGCGGCAGCGACGCUUAUGCGUUGUUGGGUAGGGGAGCG